AACACAGACAGACAGAAAGACAGAGAGAUCGUGGCAUGCAUGCAUGUACCCAUGGAAGCCAAAAGAGGGAGGCAAAGCCCCUGGGACUGCAGUUACAGGCAAUUUUAGCUGCCUGUGGUGGGAGCUGGGUGGCUGUUCCCCUCCCCUUAUCCCUCCUGCUUCUCUUGCCCCAUGCUGCUCUUCCUCCUCCUUUCCCUCCUCCUCCUUCUCCUCUUCUUUGGAGACAGGGUAUCCCGUGGCUCAGAAUCGAAUGGAACUCUCUGCAUUCUGGGGAUAACCUUGAACUCCUGUUAACCUUAGCUCCAUGUCCUGAGUUCUGGGUCGAGGAUCACAGAUGUGCACCACCAUGCCCGGCUGAUAUGUUGCUGCGGAUUGAACUCAGACCCUAGUGCAUGUCAGAAGAGGGCAUCAGAUUCCCCUGGAACUAGAUCUGUGGACGGCUGACAGCUGUGGGUGCUGGCAGCAGAAUCUGGGUCCUCUGGAACAGGAACCAGUGAUCUUACCUGGAGAGCCGUCAUUUCAGCCCCUGCUUCUCACUUUCAUAAUGGAGACUUCUCAUCAUUAUCAAGAUACCUCUGGUUGUCAGUUCAUGGCUGAAAAACCAUCACAAAGUUUUGGUCAUCCGUUGCAAGAACACGAGAUGGGGUUCUGAAUGUGACAAGUGUUGAUCUGGUUGCUCCAGAGAAGUGUUUGUCAUUCAGUACAGUGGCUGAACCUUUAGCAAUUGUGGUUCCAACUGGAAAUGACAAGUCCACAGCUAUCAGCAGCAGUUCGACCGCACAGGCUGCAGCCAGGUGGGAAUUCUGUUUCCUCGGACACUGGCUCCUAUCAAGGUCACUAAAGGAAACUUUAUUUAAAUUUCCAUCCUUUUAUAGAACUUGGGAUUCAAAGUUUGAGUGUUGUGGGAUAGUCAUUUUUGUACACUGAAAAUGUGCUGCUCUCUUGUUAAUCAAAAGCCGAUUGACCAAAAGCUAGACAGCAUUUGGGGGGCAGAAAGAAUCCCAACACACAGAGAAAUUCCACCUGCAAAUGGCCCUGACUGUGAUUUCAUAAAUAUUAUCAAAUGUUUAUUUCUGAUGUUCUCUACAGACGUAUAAUACAAAUGGUCUUCUUGUAGUCCUAGUUCAAUUAGCUCUUAGAGCUGGUGUUGGAGUUGGAGUGAGGAUCUCUCAUUUUUUAAACCCAAGCAUGCUUGUUAAGGAAAAUACAAAUUCCCUGUCUCAUGUCAGAAGAGCCACCUGAUAGGGGAUAGAAAAAAACAGAAACAAAAUUAAGGGACUAUUCUGCUGCCAAUGAUCUCAUAUUUAAGAUAAUAAAGAAAUGGAGGCUA